rnacentral:sRNA from 1 species
GGGUGACUCCUUGGCGCUUGCGCGCUGUUUUGAUGAAGAUUCGCACCUCUAUCAAAACGGGUAACCCCACCUCCUGGCAAGGCCUUACUGUCAGAUCAAGUCUGAACUUCUACACCUUAUCCCCGCUGCCCAAACUCUGCUUCCUGCGCCGUCCACCCUGCCACCCGCUCGCUCAACGUCAAUCCGAGCCCCGGCCGCGUCG